rnacentral:rRNA from 1 species
UCGAACGGGCGAGAGAGAGCUUGCUUUCUCAAGCGAGUGGCGAACGGGUGAGUAACGCGUGAGGAACCUGCCUCAAAGAGGGGGACAACAGUUGGAAACGACUGCUAAUACCGCAUAAGCCCACGACCCGGCAUCGGGUUGAGGGAAAAGGAGCAAUCCGCUUUGAGAUGGCCUCGCGUCCGAUUAGCUGGUUGGUGAGGUAACGGCCCACCAAGGCGACGAUCGGUAGCCGGACUGAGAGGUUGAACGGCCACAUUGGGACUGAGACACGGCCCAGACUCCUACGGGAGGCAGCAGUGGGGAAUAUUGCACAAUGGGGGAAACCCUGAUGCAGCGACGCCGCGUGGAGGAAGAAGGUCUUCGGAUUGUAAACUCCUGUUGUUGAGGAAGAUAAUGACGGUACUCAACAAGGAAGUGACGGCUAACUACGUGCCAGCAGCCGCGGUAAAACGUAGGUCACAAGCGUUGUCCGGAAUUACUGGGUGUAAAGGGAGCGCAGGCGGGAAGACAAGUUGGAAGUGAAAUCUAUGGGCUCAACCCAUAAACUGCUUUCAAAACUGUUUUUCUUGAGUAGUGCAGAGGUAGGCGGAAUUCCCGGUGUAGCGGUGGAAUGCGUAGAUAUCGGGAGGAACACCAGUGGCGAAGGCGGCCUACUGGGCACCAACUGACGCUGAGGCUCGAAAGUGUGGGUAGCAAACAGGAUUAGAUACCCUGGUAGUCCACACCGUAAACGAUGAUUACUAGGUGUUGGAGGAUUGACCCCUUCAGUGCCGCAGUUAACACAAUAAGUAAUCCACCUGGGGAGUACGACCGCAAGGUUGAAACUCAAAGGAAUUGACGGGGGCCCGCACAAGCAGUGGAGUAUGUGGUUUAAUUCGACGCAACGCGAAGAACCUUACCAAGU